rnacentral:misc_RNA from 1 species
GUAGGUGAACCUGCGGAAGGAUCAUUACAGAUUGGGAUACCGUUCGGAGUCGUAAGGCUCCAAAUGGAUACAUACGUUCGGAGUCGUAAGGCUUCGUAACACAUUCACGCUUGGUUUGUUUGUCAGAGUAAGAUAUACAAAAACAUUAGACAACUUUUAACAAUGGAUCUCUUGGCUCUU